CCUACGGGUGGCAGCAGUGGGGAAUAUUGGGCAAUGGGCGCAAGCCUGACCCAGCAACGCCGCGUGAAGGAAGAAGGCUUUCGGGUUGUAAACUUCUUUUCUCAGGGACGAAGCAAGUGACGGUACCUGAGUAAUACGCCACGGCUAACUACGUGCCAGCAGCCGCGGUACUACGUAGGUGGCAAGCGUUAUCCGGAUUUACUGGGUGUAAGGGGCGGGUAGGCGGGACUGCAAGUCAGAUGUGAAAACCCCGGGCUCAACCUGUGACCUGCAUUUGAAACUGUAGUGCUUGAGUACUGGAGAGGCAGACGGAAUUCCUGGUGUAGCGGUGAAAUGCGUAGAGAUUAGGAGGAACACCAGUGGCGAAGGCGGUCUGCUGGACAGCAACUGACGCUGAGGCGCGAAAGCGUGGGGAGCAAACAGGAUUAGAUACCCUUGUAGUC
rnacentral:rRNA from 1 species